rnacentral:lncRNA from 1 species
AAGCUUUUGACAGUAUCAAAGAAUAUCUGUUUGAGCCUCCGAUUUUGUCUCCAUCUGUUGAAGGAAUACCAUUGAUCAUAUAUUUGACUAUGCUCGAAGAGAGUAUGGGUUGUUGUAACACCCCAAAAUUUGCCCUCCUCAUUCAUGCAUUCAUUUAGUAUUUCAUAUUGCAUUUCAUCAUGUCAAUCAGAAUUAGAUCCAAGAAACUUUAAAAAAAAAAAAAAAAAAAA